CAAUGAGUACCAGGAAGUGAGACAGACUCCAAAACCAGAGGAAAGAUUAUGGCCCUUCUCCCUCCUGGCUGGAUAUGUUGCUGAGGCAUAUUCCUAUCCCUUCUUCAUGUCUACAGCAUGGAAUGUCCUCUCUUUGAUGUUGUAAAGAUCAGGAGGUUCCCUGGUCCAGGCAGCAUCGCUAAGUCAGCAAUCGUCAAUGUCAGCCAAUGUGGGAGACAUGGUCAGGAUCACCUGCUCAGGGGUUAGCUAUGGCACCUGUGGCUGGUAUCAGCAGAAGGUCCCUGGCACUGGCCCUGUCACUGUGAUCUAC